ensembl:lncRNA
AUAUUGGACUCAUGAAGCAAAAACUGUUGUCUCUUUUUGGAAUCUCUUAAAGAGUUUAUGUUUGGUUGAUACUUUUUUCUUCUUUAAAUAUUUGGAAGAAUUUCCCAGUCAGGUUGUCUUCUUAAUGGAGUUUUCUUUACAAGAAGAAUUCAGUUUCUUCUAAUAAAUAAAAAGCCUUGAGAUGGUUCAAUUACUUCUUAUGUCAUUUGUGAUAUAUAUACACAAGAGUAAUAACAUGUGAUGUGAGAUUCUAAUAAAAACUCAAGAGGACUUCAAAUACCUGCAUAAACAAUACAGAUGGAGUACAGGAAAGAGCUCAGGAUUUUAUCUGUGUGUCCUUAGGUAGUCUACCAGAGAGACCUUCUAACACAAAAGCAAGCCAUCCCACUGAAAGACUAGACUAUCCAACCUUCCAGCUGACAGGGAAACUGCCCUAGAGCAUCCAUCCCCAGGACAGCUGCCAAAAGAGAUGAACAAAGCUGGCUCAGAAGAAGAGAGUCACCGGCUGACCCAGAAAACUGUGAGUUAGCAAAGAGCAUCCAUGUGAGCAUCGGAGGGACCACACAUUCUUCACGCCUGCCCAGUUUCAAAGCCUCAUGCUUCCAUGAGAAUCAUCAUUCACUAGUGAAAUUUAGCUUCUUGCUGUCUGACUUGCCUAUUUUGAGUUGAAUACCAUUCGCAAGAGGAACUGAUGAACUCAUUCAAGUAAUAACGUUCAUUUACUUACUGCUUAUUUCUGGAAGCACCAAGCACUGUUCUAGGUGCAGGGGACACAGCAAUAAAUAGUCACUGCCACAGGGGAGCUUUUAUCACAGUGAUGCACGGUCCCUUCCAGCUGCAGAGCAGAGAUAGCACCUCUUCCUUAAUAUCACAUUCACCAGCGGCCCACAACCGUUUUGGCAUUAGGGACCAGUUUUGUGGGAGACACUUUUUCCACAGACGGCAUGGGGGGAUGGUUUUUGGGAUGUUUCAAGUACAUUACAUUUAUCAUGCCGCUGCUGAUCUGACACCGAGCAGGGAUCAGGGAGGAAUGCAAGUGAUGGGGAGUGGCUGUAAAUACAGAUGAAGCUUCGCCCUCUCACCCACCACUCACCUCCUGCUGUGUCCCAGUUCCUAACAGGCCACGAACCUCUACCAGGGGUUGGGGGCUCCUGACUUAGACCACUCUUUUACACUUAAUAAGUGCUUAAUAUAUGCUGUAAGACAGAUCAAAAUUAUUGAGAAUCUCAUUUUAUGCUGAAGUCUUAUU